CCAAAAAGUCGCAGCUGUUUCAGCUCUAUUCUAGCGGUAUUAACUAAGAAAACAUGUUCCCAAAUGUACAUUCAGAAAGGUUAAAAAGAGUCUGACUCAUUGGCCUUGAGGAAAUAAGGACAACAUGGGAGCAGAAGAAAGCACAAGGCCACGUAGAGUUUUCGGGAAGGAGAAUAAAAAUAUUUAAGCUACGGUAAACCCUUCACAGAGAUAUUUCAGUCCUAACAAAUGUACUUGUGGUUGACUGCAUUAUUG